rnacentral:rRNA from 1 species
GGAAGCCGGGAGUGCCUGAAGUGCGUGACCGCAAGGAGCGCCCUAAGGUAAAACUGGUGACUGGGGCUAAGUCGUAACAAGGUAGCCGUACCGGAAGGUGCGGCUGGAACACCUCCUUUCUGGAGC